UCGAUGUGGAACAGUGCCCACGUUCUUCCGUGUUGAUACAAUAAACUAUGAUGUCGACAAAAGUAGUGCAACAUCAGUAUCAGAGAGAUUUAAUUAUACUAACUUUAAGAAUUAUGAAGAUAACAUUGCAACAAAUGAGAUUGAAAUUAUAAAGAAAUAAAAAAAAAAAGGAGGGUGGAAUCUGGAGAUGUGUAUGAUUGUGCAGCAAUCCAUGGUGAGGUUGAGUGGCCUUACUUUGUUCUUAUCCAUAUAUGCCAAUAAUAAUCUUAGUCAUGGCUUACAUUACCCAAACCUUUGUCCUUAUCCCUUUUAUCUCUAUAUCUUCCAUGCCUCCUUAUCUUAAUACCAUUCACCCCCUCUUCCAUAUUUCACUCUCAAUCUUCUCAUAACCUUCUUCCAGCAAUUAAUUUAUGUAUGCAUGACCCAAACCAUC
rnacentral:lncRNA from 1 species